CCAUAACCAUACAGGCGUGCAUGGGACUUCGGUAAUUUUCCACUAUGCUUAACAAAGGCUGGUGCAGACGCGAAGGAGUGCAGUAACAAAGAGACGAAUAUGUGCAAGCGGACCGUGAUCAAUAAACACACUUUAUACGCAGAUUCGACGGAGAUGGAAGCUGGGAUUUGGAAGGUUCGACCACCGCCAAGCUAUUUCCUCGUUUGCUUGUGCCCAGACUUUGCAAUGAGGAUGUCUCUUUCUUUCACGGCCUUACAGACGGCUUGUUUGGUUCAGCUGCUGUCAAGGGACUGCAGAGGAUGCUAGAGAGAGCGCGGGUCCAACAUUGUUCGCUGUAGUCAGGGGCUCCCAAGGACAAGAUGAUAUUAUCACACUCGGAGAGAUGUGUGCUUGUGUGUGUGCCCAUGUAAGCAACGGCAACUU